ACAGAGCAGCAGACAGAGAGACGAUAGAAACAAAAAAAAGUAAAAAGAAGAGAAGAAGAAGAACUAAAGAGGAAAAUAGGAGAGGGAAAAGAAGAGAUUAGAAGAUUUCAGAGAGGGAGAAAAAGGGGUCGGCAGCCAUGGUUUCAAAACCAAAAAAAUUCUCAACCAAAAUUUCUAUUCAUCAAGUCUAAAAACUGAGUUCCUCCAUCCAUUACAUGACUAAUAUAAAGGAAAAGUCAAACAAUUAAUGGAAACUACUUGAAAAUGGAAACUAACCUACAUAGCCACUAAAAUAAAAAUCCAAUCUAAAUUAAAAUACUAUCAAACUAAUUUCUAAACCAAAAAGGAAAGUAAAUAGGAUAAUUCCCAAAUCAAAGAGAUCCCUUCCAUCGCCCAACUGCAUCAGGUUGCUUUAAUGGUGGUUUUAGGAGGUUGGAAGGCAUGCUUUGAGUCAUCAACUGGAUUGGCUAACUGGAAACUUUGUUCCAUAAGAAUACUUGUGCUCCAACUACAGAUGCCUAGAUAUGAAUAUGUAUAAGGUGACCCUAACAUGGAAGACAGCGAUCUGAAUCUUCCUCACCAAAAAGACCUGGACAUAGAUACAGACAGCUGUAUCCAUCCCACAUGCUGAGAUCUUUCAUUAUAUAUUUUCUACGAAGUGCCUUUUCGUUUUCCUACACCAUGCCAAUGUGAUUUAACUAUAAAUGGAUUCGAAGUUGCUUCUAGUGUGGUUUAUGAUAGAUUAUCAUUUAUAUUUUGUUAAUAAAAAAAAAUGGGGCAAUAGUUGGGAGUUGGAGAGAAUAGUGGUAAAUGGUGGGAAGUGACAAGCUUUAGAAGCUUAUUGUAGAAAUAUCCAUUUGGUUUCCUUCGUUAAGAAUGUUGAAGCCUCCAGGUACCAUAAAGUUCCCCUUAUUUCUUCCCUGAGUAGCACAGUAAUCUGCAAAACUUAUCUGGGGCUUUUGGAUUUCUACCACGGUGAUUUCCUUCUUUUGGACCACUGAUCGUAAUGAGAGACUGGUGUUGGUCACUAGAGACAAGAUUAUCUUCAACUUCUGUAUCCUUUCUAAAUUGGGUUGAUUUGUUAUCUUCAACUUCAUCACUAGGUCUCAAUCAAGUCUGGCAGCAUUUCAACAAUUUUGGGUGAUGGGUUUCCAGAAGCCUAAGAGAUUAGGUUUAGGAACCCAGACAGAAACAGAAUCGCUGUGAUUAGAUUAUGAUCAGAAUUGAAGAAUGAACAGUAAACAGAAAUCAGAUUAUCAGGUGCUCUCCAGAAUUUAAUGGAAUAUCCUAUUCUCUUAAAAGAACAGAAUAUCAGAGUCUGGAACCAAUCUACAGUAGAACUCAAAAUUAAUAUCAGAACUUCUUAAUUCACCCAAUAAAAUAUCAGAACUUCUAACCUGAGCUGCAAAACAGAAAUCCAUAAUAGUACUGGGACAUCAGGAAAACAAAUCUGAGAAGUCAGAAAUCCCAGUAGUAAUAGGAUUCUAAUGAUCUGAUAUCAGAGUCUGAUUUUAAUUCCAUGAAUAUGCUCAGAACAAAAUCUGAUUGUAUGAUGUGAAGUCAGAAUUGAAAUAUCAAAAGAUUAAGCAAGAAACUGAAUUCUUCAGAAUUAUUGCAUGUGUAGGAACUUGAAAGAAAACUCAGAAAUUACUAAGCUGAUCAAUGAUGGAUAGCUAGGAAGAAAUGGUAGAAUGGAAAAUUGAUAUGAACCAAAUAUCUCACCUGGAACUAAAUUGACAUCCCAUUGGCCAACCUCAGAAUCACACCAAGGAUUAGUUGCAUUCCACUAUUAUAUUCUGAAUCAGAACAUGAAGAAGGCGGAAGCCAAUUUUAUUCAACAGCAAACAUCUUGGGGAGGCUCUAGGCCUUACAUGCUUAUAUAGAAACUAAUAGGAUAGUUGCAUGCUGGCAAUAGCACAGUGUAAUAGGCAAUAAGAAACCAACCCUUAACAGAUAUAUUUACCCAAAAAAAAAUAAAUAAUAAAUAAAUAAAGAGCAAUCCAGUGCACUAGGCUCUCGAACCUGUGACCAACAUGUUGAAAUAGUGCAACUAAACUUUUGCGCCACAAUCCUUAACAGAUAAUGAAAUAAAAUUAGUAACAAAACGGGAAUAGAACUCCUAAACCGUAAAACAGUAGGAGAGUUCUAUUUCAACCAAAACUCUAUCUAAAGACCUUAAAAAGAGGCUGAGAAUAAACAGGGGAUUUCAGUCUUUACAAGUAAGGAAAUAAAUAAUAAAAUAAUAAAAUAAAACAAUCCUAACUAAGCUCCACGACCUGGUUCUUUAACGUGAACCAUAACCUGUACCGCAAGCCAGUAAACUGGUCCAAAAGUCGCCCAAAUCAGACCCACAAGUCAUGGUUCUGGCCUGGCUUACUCCUUGCGUUGGUACUUUAAUGAGUACCUACCUUGAUGCUGAUCUGCAUCAUUGGGUUCAAUUAGGUCAUCUCUUGGAAUGCAAUAAAUUUUGCAAGCUCAACUCUUAUUGGUGUUUUAAGAUGGUGCUAGUUUUUGGAGGAUGACUUUGGCUUCAGUCUUCCUUCUAGUUGGCCUUUUUCCUCUAGGGGCCCUCUUUGGCUGUAGUCUGGUCAAGCAUGUGUUGAAAGAACAAGUGAAUGUGAAGCCCAAGUAUGGUAUGGUUGAUGUGGGUGCUUCUUUGCACUCCUUUGGUCAUCCAUUCUGAAGGAGACCAAGUUUAAAGGAGUCUCUCGUUGGACAUUUGCAACAGGUCAGAAAGUGGAAUGCAGAAAUUGAUAGCUGUUCCGAUUAAAUUUUCACUAUAUGACCUCUCUCUCUCUCUCUGAGGAAGGAAAAAGAGUGGACCUACAUCAGAAUAUCACUACAGGCAAGGCAUUGAAAAUCUUUUCUUGUGUAGUAUAUGUGUGCUGUGUGGAUAUGUGUGUUUGCAUUUUAAAUAGAAGUGUACUGAACAUCAAAAAUCGUGUAUUGUAAGUAAAAUUAUUCAUGUAAUUCUUUUUGCAAUCAGGGUUUAUGUACAGCAAUUUAUAGUCCUUUAAUUACUUAUUUCAUUUCUUCACAAGGAAGUCAGCGUCCUCAGUUGUUAUUUUCUUAUUUCCUGUCUUACUAUGAGCUGGAUUGCAAAUGUAUUCGCUUGUUCAGGUACAUGUCAGCCACAUUACUUAGAGUCGCCAGUGAACAUACUUCAGUUGUUGCAGUUGUUGGCAGGGGGCACCUGCAAGGAAUCAAGAAGCACUGGAAGCAACCUGUUGAUGUUAAGGUUCUCCUUGAAAUUCCUGCAAGAAAAUCAACUGUCUCUGCCAUGAAAAUCUUUAUAUCCCUUGGUGUUGCAGUUGCUGGGGCAGCCAUAGUUUCCGGUGUCUAUUUGGCAGGAAAGAGGUAGUCGUCGGGAAGCUGAUACUUUUCUACGGAAAGCUUUUUGAGGGAUUCUACCUUGUUGCUUUGAGAAAAUCAUCAUGAUAUCGAGAGAUUCGUAUUCAUCCUGUCAACUGAUUUAAUGGCAGUAGAUGGUUCUCUUUUUUUCACCAUUCAUCUGCCUCUGUUUAGCAUGAUUUCUUUUGAAACUGCCAAGCUGCCCUUAACCUAAACAAAAAGUCAAAAAUGUCCUCAAGGAGUAUUUGUUCUUCUUUCUUUCUUCACCUUCUCUGGGUGGGGUCUCCUUCUUGUGCUGUUAGCGUUUUCUGUGCUUCCUUCUACAAUGAGAAAUAUGCAUCUCCUAUUCAACACUUAACACUGCAUAGUGGUCAGCAACCCACCAUUGUCUUUUCAGGAGGCUGUGGAGUGUGGUCUAUAUGUUAUUUUUGGUUUAUGAACAAUUAAACAUUGAAUAAUAGAAGCAAAGAAAGUUGGGUCCAUGCUUGCAAACCCAUAAAUUUUGUAAUCAUCUAGUGAAUCUUAUGUGUGUGUGUGUGUGUUUGUUUUUGAAUUGAUAAUGUGGUCACUUUUGAUUCAAAAUAUUAAUGCUACUGGGUGAACUUGUGGUGAAUCAGUUAGCGUUGAUGUCCUCUUGUUGGUGUUAUGCAUCGUCUCACUCUCUCUUUCUCCUCCUGACAUUGUAUAUGAACUGUGCAGCAGCACCUCACAUGCUCCUGUUGGCAUGGGGAAAAGAAUAUUCUACAGCCUAGUUCUCAAGGAAGGAACCCUUCACAGUUAAUAUACUAUGGAGCAGAGGUUUCCCACGAUGUCAGAUUGGUGAAGCAUUGGUUUACACCAAUGGGGAGGAGGGUCAUAAUGUAUGCAGUUUACCUCAGCUUCAUCAAGAGGCUGUUUUCUAAUUCGAACCAUGAUCACUUGAUCACAAUGGAGCAACAUUUACCUUUGAAUUAAAUUGAAACUGAAUUAUAAAAUUAAAUUGAACCCGUUGAUAUCUUUACCCA